GCUUACGGCCAUACCAACCUGGCUAUGCCCGAUCUUGUCUGCUCUCAGAAGCUAAGCAGGUUUGGGCCUGGUUAGUACUUGGAUGGGAGACCGCCUGGGAAUACCAGGUGCUAUAAGCU
rnacentral:rRNA from 1 species